AAUAACCAAAGAUUACACCUGGACUAAGAGUUAAAUUUGUAAUUUUUCUUACAUCUCCACCACCUGGAGCCCAUGUAUCAUAAAUACCACCAAAAUAUAAGGCUUUAAAUACUAAAAGAAAAGCACCAGCACCUAACAAAAUUAAAUGAAUACCUAAAAUAGUAGUCAUUUUGUUUUUGUCUUUCCA
rnacentral:antisense_RNA from 14 species